AAAUUUAAUUUUUUUUUAUUUUUCAAAAUUUGAAAUCUUAUCCCAAAAUCCCACUCCCCAACUCUAAACCGUAAAACCUAAACUCUAAACCCUAAACCCUAAACUCUAAACCCUAAACCUUAUAUCCUAAACCCUAAACCCUAAAUCCUAAACCCCACCCCUUAACUCUAAACCCUAAACUCUAAACCCCACCCCUAAACUCUAAACCCUAAAUUCUAAACCCUAAAUCCUAAACCUCACCCCUUAACUCUAAAUCCAUUAAUUUACCAUUGGGGUAUAAGUGUAUAUUUAUCUCUUUUGAUAAAACAUUAAGUGCUAUUUUGGUCAUUUUUUAUU
rnacentral:lncRNA from 1 species